AGAGUUUGAUCCUGGCUCAGGACGAACGCUGGCGGCGUGCCUAAUACAUGCAAGUCGAACGAAGCUUUCUUUCACCGAAUGCUUGCAUUCACCGAAAGAAAACUUAGUGGCGAACGGGUGAGUAACACGUAGGCAACCUGCCCAAAAGAGGGGGAUAACACUUGGAAACAGGUGCUAAUACCGCAUAACCAUGAACACCGCAUGAUGUUCAUGCAAAAGACGGCUUUUGCUGUCACUUUUGGAUGGGCCUGCGGCGUAUUAACUUGUUGGUGGGGUAACGGCCUACCAAGGUGAUGAUACGUAGCCGAACUGAGAGGUUGAUCGGCCACAUUGGGACUGAGACACGGCCCAAACUCCUACGGGAGGCAGCAGUAGGGAAUCUUCCACAAUGGACGAAAGUCUGAUGGAGCAACGCCGCGUGAAUGAAGAAGGCCUUCGGGUCGUAAAAUUCUGUUGUCAGAGAAGAACGUGCGUGAGAGUAACUGUUCACGUAUUGACGGUAUCUGACCAGAAAGCCACGGCUAACUACGUGCCAGCAGCCGCGGUAAUACGUAGGUGGCAAGCGUUGUCCGGAUUUAUUGGGCGUAAAGGGAACGCAGGCGGUCUUUUAAGUCUGAUGUGAAAGCCUUCGGCUUAACCGAAGUAGUGCAUUGGAAACUGGAAGACUUGAGUGCAGAAGAGGAGAGUGGAACUCCAUGUGUAGCGGUGAAAUGCGUAGAUAUAUGGAAGAACACCAGUGGCGAAAGCGGCUCUCUGGUCUGUAACUGACGCUGAGGUUCGAAAGCGUGGGUAGCAAACAGGAUUAGAUACCCUGGUAGUCCACGCCGUAAACGAUGAGUGCUAAGUGUUGGAGGGUUUCCGCCCUUCAGUGCUGCAGCUAACGCAUUAAGCACUCCGCCUGGGGAGUACGGUCGCAAGACUGAAAC
rnacentral:rRNA from 1 species